GGCCUGGUGGUCUAGUAGUAUGAUUCCUUCUUAGGGUUAUUGAUCGUUUGGAGGAGGUCCCGGGUUCAAUUCCCGGCCAGGCCC